GACCAUUGGAUAGUUCAGUUGGUUAGAACAUGAUGCUGAUAAAACCAAGGUCACAGGUUUGAUCCCCAUAUGGGACA